rnacentral:rRNA from 1 species
GCAUGUCUAAGUAUAAGUUUUUUACUGCGAAACUGUGAAUGGCUCAUUAUAACAGUUAUUAUUUCCUAGCCGGUCAGUUAUUCCUUGGAUACCCAUGGUAAUUCUAGAGCUAAUACAUGCUUACAGACCCAACUUCACGGAAGGGUUGCGCUUAUUAGAUACGAACCAACCCCGCAAGGGAUUCAGUUGAUUCAUAGUAUUCUGGCGAAUCGACUUUCAGUCGAUGAGGCUAUCAAGUUUCUGACCUAUCAGCUUCCGACGGUAGGGUAUUGGCCUACCGUGGCUUUGACGGGUAACGGAGAAUUAGGGUUCGAUUCCGGAGAGGGAGCCUGAGAAACGGCUACCACAUCUAAGGAAGGCAGCAGGCGCGUAAAUUACCCAAUCCUGACACAGGGAGGUAGUGACAAGAAAUAUCAAUAUAAGACUUUUGUGUCUUGUAAUUGGGAUGAGCGGAACUUAAAUCGCUUCUCGAGUAUCAAUUGGAGGGCAAGUCUGGUGCCAGCAGCCGCGGUAAUUCCAGCUCCAAUAGCGUAUAUUAAAAUUGUUGCGGUUAAAACGCUCGUAGUUGGAUAUCUGUGAGCGGGUUCCGGUCCUUCCCAGUGAAGAUUACACGGAACUCUGCUCGCAUUUGUUCAGGGAGGGUGGAUGCACUUCACUGUGUGACCACAUGAUCUGAAUUUUUACUUUGAGGAAAUGAGAGUGUUCCAAGCAGGCAAUCGCCGUGAAUAUGAUAGCAUGGAAUAAUAGCACAGGACUCUUGGUUCAAUGCCUGUUGGUUAAUUUGAACUAGAGUAAUCACAAUAAGGAUAGUUGGGGGUAUU